GGAGGUAUAGCUUAAGCAGUAGAGCACCUGCUUAGCAAGUAUGAAGUGCCGAGUUCAAACCUCAGUACCACCA
rnacentral:tRNA from 1 species